AGACUCAACGGAACUGCGGGGUUGAUAGGUGUGAUGGCUCUGAAAAACCGUUGGCAGGCUGAGGGCAGCGUGCCUGGAUCUCGGCAGGUUCUGCUUUCCUGUGACGAUGCAUGAGUGCAACACGCUGCAGCCGGCAAUGCCCCAGCCCAGAAGACACAGGGCGAUCUAACAAGAUCCUGCCCUGGCGGCUUCAGCGCCAGGGUGUGGAUGUGGGACUGAUUCAGAUAGUCCACAGCAGCGAACUAUUUGCCUCAUGAGGGCUCUGAGAGGAACUCUUCGCCAGCUGCCAAUGAGUACCCUAGAGAGGAAAUAAAUGCCAGAGCCCACAGUGUAGGGAAGCUCGGAGAAAGAACCCUGCUGCUUUCCCCCUGUGGCUUCUGAUUGCUGCUGUUACAGUUGAGACAAGAAGUUGGAGGACUCCACCCUAACCAGCAGGAAGCAGCUAAGAGAACUGUGCCCCCUCUCCCACCAACUCUCUCUUUCUCCCACCUGGUGUUGGGAGGGAUUGGAGUAGGGAAAAAAAAGAGAUGUAAGAAAUGUAAAUAAAAGUUUUUUAAAAGUA